AGCGAACGCUGGCGGCAGGCUUAACACAUGCAAGUCGAGCGGGCACUUUCGGGUGUCAGCGGCGGACGGGUGAGUAACGCGUGGGAACGUGCCCUCUGGUUCGGAAUAACUCAGGGAAACUUGAGCUAAUACCGGAUACGCCCUUUUGGGGAAAGGCUUGCUGCCGGAGGAUCGGCCCGCGUCUGAUUAGCUAGUUGGUGAGGUAACGGCUCACCAAGGCGACGAGCAGUAGCUGGUCUGAGAGGAUGAUCAGCCACACUGGGACUGAGACACGGCCCAGACUCCUACGGGAGGCAGCAGUGGGGAAUAUUGGACAAUGGGCGCAAGCCUGAUCCAGCCAUGCCGCGUGAGUGAUGAAGGCCUUAGGGUUGUAAAGCUCUUUUAUCCGGGACGAUAAUGACGGUACCGGAGGAAUAAGCCCCGGCUAACUUCGUG
rnacentral:rRNA from 1 species